UUAAACACACAAACACAAACUGCUCCAGUCUUGGUAAAGCAACAAGUGGGGGGUCGGGGGGGGAACGUAACUGAGAAGCAAUACUGAGUAUCACUGGACUAGCAGGACUGGCUCAAUGUACUUUACAAGGUGUUUGGAAGUUGUUUCACAUAUUUUGGAAGCAAGAUAGAAGGCACAUGUUGAGGCACUGAGCCAUCUAUCCCUCCACCCACACCCAGGCAGACUGUGAGGGAGUCUGUUGCCUUGGAUACCAGUUAGUGAAGAAACAGGCUGCUCUUUUCAGAGCAGAGAUAACAAAGCAGAAUGUCAUUGUUGAUUAUUUUUCCAUUACAUGGAACACCUUUAAAUUAAAAAGAAAAAAAAGACAUUGCCUUACAUGAUAGUUUUUCAUACAGUAAUUUCUAGAGCAAAUCUAGUUAGAAGCAACCAACAGAAGCAAAUAAAUAGGAGGCAAUUUGUAAUUAUGUCUUGGACAGUAUUCAGUACCUAUGGCAAGGCAUUACAUCAGGAUAAAGAGCACACCUCUACAUAAACACCCCCAAAAUGCCUAAUUUGUGUAGAACUGGGAUGUCCAAUCUAAGCUAACAAUAGCGGUUGGAAGGAAUGGAAAAAUGCUUGAACAGCACCAUGGCCGCUACAGACCUGUGCCUUAAACGAAGCAUGCUAUCUACGGUAAUGCUUAGCUUCAUUCUUGGAGCAGUGAUCGUGCUCACAAUCUGUGGCAAUGUGGUGGUGUGCUUAGCCGUGGGCAUAAACCGCAAGCUACGUAGCCUUACCAACUGCUUUAUUGUGUCUCUGGCUACCACUGACCUGCUCCUGGGGCUGCUAGUGCUACCCUUCUCUGCUGUCAAUGAACUGCACAGGAGCUGGCCAUUUGGAGCAACUUUCUGUAACAUUUACACCAGCCUGGACGUCAUGCUGUGCACUGCCUCCAUCCUUAAUCUCUUCAUGAUCAGCUUGGACCGAUACUAUGCCGUCACUGCCCCCCUGCGCUACUCCAUGCUGGUGACCCCAUGUCGUGUGGCUGUGGCCAUGGGGUUCAUCUGGGUGGUGUCACUCAUGGUGUCCUUCUUGCCUAUUCACAUGGGGUGGAACACACCGGACCUCACAGUUCAGAACAAGGGCGAAGAGGACAAGGAGAACAAAUGUAGGCUCGAGCUGAACAAGGGUUACGUGCUUGUGGAUGCCGUUGGCACCUUCUACCUCCCACUGGUUGUCAUGUGCAGCACUUAUUACCGCAUAUUCAAGAUCGCGCGGGAACAGGCCAAGCGAAUCAACUGCUGCACUGCUUCCUCCUCACUCAAUAACCACUGUUCUCUGCCUGCGAAAGAGCAUAAGGCCACGGUAACCCUAGCCACUGUCAUGGGAGCCUUUAUCAUCUGCUGGUUCCCCUACUUCACUGUAUUCACCUACCAAGGUCUGAGUGAGGAGGAAGUGGAUGAAAUGACCUUCGCCAUCGUGCUGUGGCUCGGCUACGCCAACUCUGCCCUCAACCCCAUCCUGUACGCAGCUCUGAACCGGGAUUUCCGCACUGCCUACAGCAGCCUGCUCCACUGCCACAAAGUGGGCCCAGCCACAGCCCCCCCCCACUCUCACCAGGGACGAGCAAAGCUCCUCAGGGGUAAUCACCAACAACACAGCCCCAACUGUAAGGGAAGCCUACCGGAAGAGAGAGCACUCAACAUGCAGGACAGAAAUGGAAAGGAGAACCCCUUCAUCCGUGAAACCACAGAAAGGAAUCUGCCAGUUUCCUGUGGCAAGUCAAUGGGGAUCCUGUCCUUCUGCCAGGGCGUGUGGCUGGCCAAGGUGGUGCCAGUGCAGAACAGGUGGAUCUUUGAGGAGAAUACAGCUGAGCCCACCGAGUCUCAGAAGAUGUUUGAGACUUAAUACAGAACCUCAGUAAUUGCAUAAAAAACAUAAUUCAUCUUUUAAGAGGGAAUCUUGGAAUUACAGAAUGCCAGAAGAUGUUCGAUUUUAAAACAGGACUCCAGAACAUGGUGGAUGCUGAAAUGAACUGUUCCAAUUUUAGCUAAUUUCCUGCUAUCAAAUUAAUCUUGUCAUGGUAAAUAAAUAAAUAAACAAAUAAAUAAAUAAAGCAUCUGAAGAUCAGCUGCUGUUCAGGUGCAGUAAACCAGUAUGAAGGCUCAUAUGAUAGUCCUUCAUUAAAAUUCAGGAGCUGAGAAUGGAGGUGCCACAGCAGCACUGGAGCGUGGAGAUGCAAGUGACAUCUCUGAGCGAGUGAGGGCAACAUCUUUGCACUGUUAAUAAAUGGUUAUUCUAAAUUGUGCGGCUUGUGAGACAGCCAUGGCACAUGGAGUUACAAGUGGCCGCACAUCUUAAGAGAGCCUUUCAGAGAUGUUUUUGAUAUGCAGGGACUCCAAAAACCUUUACUUUUAAUCUAGGAAGAGCAUUUAUUCUUUGUUAACCAUUAAAUCCCAUUUGUGGUACUUUACUGCCAAGGGAAGAAAAAACCCAAAUUAUUGGUGUUGUUUUCAUUUUGGAGAAUGGAGAAUGAAGCUGUUAUUAAUGACAAUACAAGCUUAACAGUAAGGUUAGGAUCCUUGACACUCAAAAUUGUCUUUUGAUGAAAUGUAUAGUCAAAUCUACAACGCAUUCUGUGAAAAUAAAUCUGUUGAUAUUCCAAAGCAAAAAUAUUCUUGAAAAAUCGAUGUCCAGCUUUUUAGAAUAAAAAGAACUUCUGAGCAGAAUUUGAUCUGAUUCAAUGGGAAGAUUUAAUCAUUACACUGUGCUGGUUAUAUCUUUAACAGAACCACUGCAGUUUAAGUAGCAAUGUCUAUUAAAAUAUACAACAUGGGGAAUUGAAUGUUAUUGAA